GGCGCAGAUCUACGAGCGGCACGCGCGGGUGUGGCUCGGGACGUUCCCCGACGAGGAGGCGGCGGCGCGGGCCUACGACGUGGCGGCGCUCCGGUACCGGGGGCGCGACGCGGCCACCAACUUCCCCGGGGCCGCGGCGUCGGCCGCCGAGCUCGCGUUCCUCGCCGCGCACUCCAAGGCCGAGAUCGUCGACAUGCUCCGGAAGCACACCUACGCCGACGAGCUCCG
rnacentral:misc_RNA from 1 species